UUCCGGAGAGGGAGCCCGAGAAACGGCUACCAUCCAGAAGGCAGCAGGCGCGCAACUUACCCCUAAUCUCGAUUCGAGGAGGUAGUGACAAGAAAUACCGAUGCGGGACCCUACGGGUGCCGCGUUCGGAAUGAGUACGAUUCGAACCACCUAACGAGGAACGAUCGGAGGGCAAGUCUGGUGCCAGCAGCCGCGGUAAUUCCAGCUCCAAUAGCGUACGUUAAAAGUUGCUGCAGUUAAAAAGCUCGUAGUUGAACGUUCGGGUUCCGCGGGACGGGGCCGCCCCGCGAGGGACGGCGCCGCCCCGGGGCUCGUGAUAUCUCAUCUCGCCGCCCGUCGCGAGGCGGACGGAGGGAUGGAUGAGGUUACCUGGAAAAAAAUCGGGGCGAUCUAGGCGGGCGAACCUCGCCAACGAACGAAUUCGGACAUGGGAUAACGGAAGAGGGCG
rnacentral:rRNA from 1 species